UGUUGUGAAACAAAUUGGCUUCAGUCUGUGUGUAGCUCUUGUCCAUGUGACUUUCCAGGGUGAACUUCAGAAGGCUAAUAAAAGGCCAACACAUCAAUUAAGCAUCAUCUCCUCCUUUAACUCUUUUUGAUAGAGGACAUUAGAAAUUCCAGAACAGGGAGUGGGGUGUUACCAGCAUCAUGGGGUGUCUCCUGGAAGCCCCUGCUAGACCCUCACUAUGGAGAGAUGAUGGAUCUCAUCACCAGCUGGGGCAAAGAGGAGACCAAGUAUCAGCUCCACAAAGGGCACUGUAAGAGGGAUACAUUCAACCACGUUGUGCAAAAGAUGCAAGUGCAGGGCCAAAGCAGAGAUCGGGUACAGUGCCAGGCCAAAGCAAAAUGGAUAAAGAUCCAGUACAAGUACAUGCAUGAUGCCAACAGAAAGUCUGGGGCCAGGAGGCAAAGCAUGCCUUCUACAAGGAGAUGCCCUGCUUCCUUGCUAUGGAUGGGGCCAUUGCCACCCCACAUAUGUACAGCGCCACCAGGGGGAAGGAGGAGUCACUGUCAGGGACACUACUGGAGGAGGAGGUGCAGGAAGGCCCUAAGAUAAUGGAUCAACUUAGUGCUCAGGAGCAGGUCCCAGGGGGCCACACAGAUAACAGUGGCCCCUGAGGAAUCCACCCCAUUAGUGCUGGUCUCCAGAUCAUCACAGGAUCUGGGAGUGGAGUUGCAGCUGGACCUGAGAUUCCGUGACAUAUUCUUGGGCAUUGUCAAGAGCACGAAGUAUACAGUGGAAGAGCAGAGGGAAAGUUACAGUGCAACAGAAAUUGAGACAGGAUUUCAAACCCAAACCCAUGCCCUCUACCUCACAGAAGCCCUCCCCUGGUCCUCACCCCAUGGACCAUGACCAAACACAGGGACCUCAGACACUGUUCCUGGAACAGCUGCUACCAGUCUUGCACUACCACUCUUUUGACACCUCCUCACUGCCCCGCUUCCAAAUGUUCAGAGUGCUCCCAAUCCCCUCUGCCUCAACUACUGGUGCAGUGACCUCUGCUGCAGUAUGACCCAAAGCACUCACACCCAGUCUUCCCCACAAUUCUGGUGAAGACCCAGGCACCAAUCAAGGACACUGAGUUACCCAGGAUAGUAUGGCUCUACCCCAGUCCACAUGGCUGUAGCAGGGAC